GUAGUCUCUCUCGCGCCUGCUUUUAUUCUCACUUCUCGGAUGCCCUAAUUUAUCAUGUCAGCGCUUAACACCUGUGGUUACGUCUCUACCCUUUUUUGGGUUCCUCUCAUUACCGAAACCGAAACAGAAACCAUUUGUGGUGAACCAGUGGAUCUCGAAGGUCAAAGAUGGCCAGCAUCUUCUCGAAGACGAGUUUUAACUUCUCUAGGAAUAUGUACUCUUCUUCGAUUCCUCGCUGUCACUCCAAAACCCUCUCUUGCCCAGUCUUUGCUUUGUUUAUUUUACCCCUUUUUUUGUUAAUUAAAUAGGAAUCUGAUUAUGCAUUUUGUUCCCAUCGCCUUUUCGAUCCAAGCCUCUGUUCUUCUCACGGUUUUGUCCCUUUUUCUUGGGAUUUUUUUGGGGAAACAAAAUUCUUAAUGCUCUCUUUGCUUCUUAACUUCGUAUUGUGUCUUGAGAUUUUUUUCCUUUCACAGUUUUGCCCUUUGUCUUCCGUGAUGGCCAGGUGAAGUCUUUUAAGGAAAAGGAUGAAGUGGAUGCGUGGCUUUUCAGCAACCCUAUGCGGUGCCUUGAAGCGCUUCAUUUUUCGGAGAGAAACGACAUCGUUAUAAGCUACGAUCUUCAGACCAAUUCCACCAGUCUUCAGCAGCGAGGGAAGUACGAGGAUCCCACGGCUUUGUUUCAGCUCCCUCUUCAGCUUGCUGCCGAGAGGGAAAUUGCCAGAUACCUUAUUGGAGAGUUUGGAAUUGGUGUUUCUGAGGGAAUUCGCGCACCCUUCCAUGAAUCCUUUCUCUACUGUGGCUUCAAAUUUUCGGAUCCUCUCACCCAAGUACACACUUUUAAUCCAUGACCCUAGGAAAUUGUGCCAUAGUUUUAUGAUUAAAUUUACUGUUACUGUGUGGUUUUUUUGUUCACUUAGGCAAUGAAUAUGAUGGGGCUUUACGACUUUGCUUACUGGUUUUCCUGGCUCAUCUAGGAGGCAGUUGUCACGAUCCUAUCGUCCCUCCUUAUAAUUUCUUUUGAUUGCAUUGUUAUGGGGACCUUUUCUGGUUCUUGUUACCUGCCCAGUAAGGGGUGAGGUAGAUUUCUAAGAAAAGAAAUAAAUUGCCUCGAGCUGGUGUGAUUCAAAAAGGAAAAAAAAUUAUUUAUGUAUUCUGGAAUUUGCUGCUCAUUUAUUUAUUUAUUUAUUUUUAAUUAACAUAGGUGGAUAUUCUGUGCUGGGAAUGUGAAAGAUGUUUUAUAGUCUAGAAUGUGCCACAUAUGACACAGGAUACAAAUACAAUACGACACAACCAUAGGAAUAUAUGACAUUUUAAAAAGUAUAGGACUCGACUUCACUGUAAUACAAGAUAUAAUAUUAGUAUAAUAUUAACAUAUAGCACAAAUCUAGAACCAAAAGAGCAAAUCAAUGUUUUAAAAGUGAGCACAAGUCCUUGUACAUAUAAUUUUAAAAAUUCUUAAGUUUAUUUAAUUAUUAUUGUGUUUUUUGUUUGUCUUGUUGAGUUUGGUGAUUGCAUCUUUUGUAGUUGUGUUGGCCAUCCAUUUUAAGCUAAUCUUUUGCGGCUGUCUGUAACGCAAGUGCUGCAGCGAAGAAAAUUCUUCUGUACAAGGUGGAAGAUCUCUCGAGGAUGUAUAGACUUUACUAUAAAAAACCUAAAGGCUUGGAUCCUGUUGCCAAUGUAUUCAAGCAGGUUGGUUUAUUUAGUUUUUGCAUUAUGCUUUGUGCUCAAUUAUUAAUCUUUUAAAGUAUUAGUAUAUUUUAUUUAAAGAAGCAGAAAAGUAAAUUCAAAGGUAAUCAGUGUUGUUAAAAAGCGGUUAUGGCGGCGCCAUGGCGAUAUGACAUCACGGGUUUUUGAAAAAACGCCACCAAAUAGCAGUGGCAUUGCGGGUUUCAUAUGGCAGUCGUUGCGGAAUGGCGGAAUAGCACUUUUUUUAAAAAAAUUUGCGCAACACCGGUUGGGCUGACCCGACCCAAUCCAACCCUACCUGAAUGUCACCUGCAAAAGGAGACUCCAGCCCGACGCACAGCGGCGCGACGACAGCAGCGGCACCACCAUGCACGCGAGCACCACGGAAGCGAGCACAUGACAAACGGACGGCGACGGCAACGGCAACGGCAAAAGUGUGCACAUGUUCUGGGUUUUUUUUCUGUUUGACACCCUCUUUUUAUAUCUAGUUCUGUUUUUUUUUUUUUUCUGUUUGACCCGUUUUUAGAACUCUUGAAUGAGUUUAUUUGGUGUUGGUAUUUGGUUAUUGUGUGAACUCAUAAACUUUUUUAGUUUAUUUGAAUGCAAUCCAUUGUUUUUUAAUUUUUUAUUUAUA